AAAACUCAUUCAUAUAUCGACUUUAUUAUAGUAUCAAAAUCAAAGUUUGUUACAUAAUCGAUAAACAUUAUUACAAAAUGACCCGUGGGUCUAAAUGAAAUAUCUAAAUAAUCUAUUUAUUCUCCAGCAGAAAUGGGGCGCCAUCUUCACAGGAACGUCGACCGGGGGUUGCACCAGCCUAGUACACAUCAUCGGGGUCGAAGGCGUCAUCGUCAGCGGCGUACUCCUGAGUGUCGUCUCCAGCGUCUGGGUGGGGUAGCAGGGGGACAAAGAGGAAGGGUGAGUACAUCGAAAUGUACUCCGCAAGUGUAGGAAAAUAUAUGACAUGAGGCUUAUAACAAGGGUAGGCUACUUUGGUUGACACCAGCACCUAUAGCAACACACCUAUUACCUUAAAUCCUUAAGCGCCUAUUUAUCUAAGUGAAACCACAAUCUCCUCAAAUAACUGUGCCAACACUCGGAUUCCAUCCGAGCAAACCACACUUGGACUCCAUCCAAGCAAACCACCAAAUCGGAGCCAACUAAUCUCGAAGAAGUCCAAGCCGCUCCUGACCGCGAGCGCGGCUGAUAUACCAGUUUUACACUCUGCAGAGGUUGCACACUUUCACCACGAGUCAUGUUUUCCCCAUCACGCCUCACACUACCUAGGUGCUCGGCAGGGUCACACUACAAGGCCUUUACAAAGCUGUUGUUCCCACCCCUGUGCAUUCACUAAGGAUUCGCCGAUUUAGGCCCCCUCGUGUGCCACCUAACUCUCCACAAUGCACAGAAAUGGGCAGCUAAUUAGUUAGCCAGGUCAUACCAUAUAGACCUCGUGGAUGCGCUGUUAAGCCGGUUACAUGCUCCGAGAACCGGUCCUUAGAAUCCUACAGGGACGAACACAAACCCGAUCCACCAACAUCUGCCGCCAUUACAUGGCAAAAACCAAACCUCACCCAAUCUUUCCAUCCUGUCAGAUUCCUAGUCUCCAUGUUGCUAAAAACAUUACCAACCCACAUGUUGCGUAGACCAUUUAUCAAUAUUAAAUUACAGCCAUUUUCCAAUUCCUAAGACUGCAAGCUAAGCACGAUGGCUACCCUUUCAAAACCCAGGUUACAAGGAUGAUAUAAACAAGUUCUAGUAAACCCGAACAUGGGAUUCAAAAUUAAGACUUUGCAUGCAACUAAUGGUCUAACUAAACUAACUCAAAAGUAAAAUAAAUGUAGGCGCAAGAUGGUCAAGGACACUUGCCUUGGAACUGGGUUUGGUCUGGAAAGUCAAACUCCUGAUCUUGGAGGUUCUCGAAAUCAGCACCGUCUGUAUUCAAUACACCAAACAUGGCCCAAACAAAAACAUAAUAAGAACAAUACACCAGACAGUCGAAAAGCACAAAAUAAAGUGUACUGAUGCGUAGAGCUCAUCGAUACGAAUCUAAUGCGAUUUGAACGUGUCAAAUUGGAGCUAGAGUGUGAAAAUGGAUUUUUCAAAGUUUGGAAGAUUAAAAUAAUUAUUUGAAAAUGACUACAAAAUAUUUAACAGAUUUGUUUUUCUUCUAAAAAAAUGUUAUUUAUGAUUUUUAAGAAAAGAAAAAUAAGGCCGAUAAUAUAUUUGUACAAGUAAGGAAGUGGCAGACUAAUACGUUUGGAUGAUUUAUUACUGUGAAGUAUCUAUGUGCUAUUAACUAUAGAUGGGAGGGAGUAGGUGGCUAUUUAUGCAAGACUCAGCGAAUAGUGUCUUGAUCCGAAUAAAACCUAGGGACCAGAAUGCAAAGUACGCGGCACUAUGCUACGCACUGGGUCCAUGAACUAUGGACCGAGAAAGGAAUGUGACAGAAGUCCACCAUGGACCAUGUCCAUGAUGAGGUGUAUUUGGAGUGUAUUUGUGGAUUUGUUUUUCUACAUGAAAACGGCCAAAAAUCGAAUGUGAUGACAUGCUGAUGUGAACGUGAUGUCAGCAAGCUAAGAAACUAAAGCCAACAAGAAAAUAGAGCAUCACGACCGGCUGCUAGCUCUGUGCGGUGCGGUUGCCGGCAAGCGGGUGCUGUGCAUCUGCGUGCGUGAGUGAUGGGAGUACGCAGGGACGAGGCUGUGUGCAGGUGCUUGUAGCUGGCAUUGCCGCGUCCAGAACCGAAGUCAUCGGAGCAGUCUGCUGCAAGCCGUGUGCACGGUGCUGCCAUAGACGGCAACGCACGGUCGUGCUCCGACUGAGGCUGAUUCUGGCUCCGUACGUGCUGCUCUAUGGAGAGUUAAGAUAGAGUCAAAGAGGAUGCUCACCGUGCAACCGGAAGGGUCGGAGGAGCGGCGAUGAUCACCAAGACGCGGUGCAGGGCGUGCGGCGGCGCUACGGCGUGGUAAGGCGGCGGCGACUGUAGCAGUACUAUUGGAGCUGGAGCGGGUCAGAGCUGUCGUGGUGGCGAGAUGUGUUGUCCAUGUGAAG
rnacentral:lncRNA from 1 species